rnacentral:ncRNA from 25 species
ACGAAACUAAAGGGGUGCUGUAAAAGGCUGAGAUUACACCCAAUGAACCUGGAACAGGUAAUGCUGUUUAGGGACGCGUUGCAAAUGUAGC